rnacentral:rRNA from 1 species
CCUACGGGUGGCUGCAGUGGGGAAUAUUGGACAAUGGGCGAAAGCCUGAUCCAGCCAUGCCGCGUGUGUGAAGAAGGCCUUCGGGUUGUAAAGCACUUUCAGUGGGGAAGAAAGCCUUGGGGCUAAUACCCUCGAGGAAGGACAUCACCCACAGAAGAAGCACCGGCUAACUCCGUGCCAGCAGCCGCGGUAAUACGGAGGGUGCGAGCGUUAAUCGGAAUUACUGGGCGUAAAGCGCGCGUAGGCGGUCUGAUAAGCCGGUUGUGAAAGCCCCGGGCUCAACCUGGGAACGGCAUCCGGAACUGUCAGGCUAGAGUGCAGGAGAGGAAGGUAGAAUUCCCGGUGUAGCAGUGAAAUGCGUAGAGAUCGGGAGGAAUACCAGUGGCGAAGGCGGCCUUCUGGACUGACACUGACGCUGAGGUGCGAAAGCGUGGGUAGCAAACAGGAUUAGAUACCCGAGUAGUC